UUGAGGUCAGUUGAGGUUGAGUUAGUGUUACCAAAUUUGUCUCACAACAUACAUUCCCAACAACUUUGUUUAAAGCUUAUAUAAUAACUGGCCUUGUAAAUAGUCGUUGUACAAACUGGACUUCUUUCAAGUUGUUUUGAACUGUAGAAGAUCGAACAAUGAUUCUCAAUUAGAAACCAAUCGUUUUUACAGUCAGUGAAUGUAGAGAUAUUUGUUGGUUAUUUUCCUAUGAAAAUUGAGGUUUGAAACUGGCUGAUGAUUUACUGGUGAAAUUUGUGAAUUUAUGAAAAACGUAUUAAUAAUAAGCCUUGUGAAGAUUUCACUGAACUUUUUUUAUGAAAUAACUCCAGUCAAAAGAGAGAAAAUCAAUUAUUCUUAACUGGCUGAUAUCAAGCACCAUUCCAGACAAAUAUUUAUUAAAUAUUUCCCUCAGUGAACCAUAAUUUCUUUCGAAUGUAAAACAUUCAAAGUCUGUUUUCUAGCCUGAUCAAAAAUUUUAGAAGAUAAAGAGCUUGGGUAUAACGUCUGCUACAAAAAUUUCUCGUAGCAUAACAAAUCAAAGUGAAAAUGUUUUUAUUGCAUUUCGUACAGGUUUAUCACAGUUUAGAUGUAGUCAUAUUAUAGUUACGAAGGCAAUUUAGGAAAACUGUUUCUUUGAAAAAAAUCGAGAGCUUGUUUUCCAAAUUGCACGAGAAAGUAUACUAUUAGGUACCUAGUAUACAUAUAAAUUAGCUGAAUCUUAAUGAUGCACUGCCAAAAGUUGCAAUUAUGUGGUGAAAAAGCAAUUCUGUGCAAAUAAUCAGAAUCAAAACGAUUUAUAUAUUCUAUUGAUAUGUACAUAUAUACAUGGCUUUCUAUAAAAUUCAGCGUUCA